rnacentral:rRNA from 1 species
UACGUAGGGGGCUAGCGUUGUCCGGAAUCAUUGGGCGUAAAGCGCGUGUAGGCGGCCCGGUAAGUCCGCUGUGAAAGUCGGGGGCUCAACCCUCGGAUGCCGGUGGAUACUGUCGGGCUCGAGUACGGAAGAGGCGAGUGGAAUUCCUGGUGUAGCGGUGGAAUGCGCAGAUAUCAGGAGGAACACCAAUAGCGAAGGCAGCUCGCUGGGACGGUACUGACGCUAAGGCGCGAAAGCGUGGGGAGCGAACAGG